UGGGGAAUAUUGCACAAUGGGCGCAAGCCUGAUGCAGCCAUGCCGCGUGUGUGAAGAAGGCCUUCGGGUUGUAAAGCACUUUCAGCGAGGAGGAAGGUGGUGAGCUUAAUACGCUCAUCAAUUGACGUUACUCGCAGAAGAAGCACCGGCUAACUCCGUGCCAGCAGCCGCGGUAAUACGGAGGGUGCAAGCGUUAAUCGGAAUUACUGGGCGUAAAGCGCACGCAGGCGGUUUGUUAAGUCAGAUGUGAAAUCCCCGGGCUCAACCUGGGAACUGCAUUUGAAACUGGCAAGCUAGAGUCUCGUAGAGGGGGGUAGAAUUCCAGGUGUAGCGGUGAAAUGCGUAGAGAUCUGGAGGAAUACCGGUGGCGAAGGCGGCCCCCUGGACGAAGACUGACGCUCAGGUGCGAAAGCGUGGGGCAGCAAACAGGAUUAGAUACCCUGGUAGUCCAGCGCUGUAAACGAUGUCGAUUUUGGAGGUUGUGCCCCUUGAGGCGUGGCUUCCGGAGCUAACGCGUUAAAUCGACCGCCUGGGGAGUACGGCCGCAAGG
rnacentral:rRNA from 1 species